CGGCAAUUGGAUCAAGAAGAAACAUAGGCACUCCAGAAAUGCAUGAAACUAUAUGUAUGUUACUUACGGGUUUUGAUUUUGGAGUUCUUCGCAUUGGAGCAUCAGAAUUGGUCAAUUCUCUUUCAGCAUGUAUGGUCAUGAAGACGGAUUGCCGUAUCGGAUCAGAGAAUUAAAAGUACCGACAUGUUGGUAUUUCGAAUAAGAACUAUAUUAACACAAUCUGGCCUGGGUUGCGUAGAACUCUUAAAAAUACAUAUCCAUGUAUAGCAUAAAGCUGAGAGCUUAACUUUUUGAAUGUCAUCGAUUGUGCUCCUCAAGCUAAGAUUUCUCAUCAAUUUAUCUCAGUUCCAUAUAAUUUAUUUACUUUUUACUCUAAGACAGAACAGGCUUCGGUUCUGUUUGAUUGGCUGUUGCAUGUGUAGUGGUUGUGAUGAAUGGUUUAGAUUUGAGUGA